UCUCCGUUGGUGAACCAGCGGAGGGAUCAUUACAGAGUUGCAAAACUCCCAAACCAUUGUGAACGUUACCUAUCCCGUUGCUUCGGCGGGCGGCCCGGGCCCCGCGCCCGGCGCCCCCCGGCCCCCCGUGGGCGCCCGCCGGAGGUAAACCAAACCCUUGAAUUGCAUGGCCUCUCUGAGUCUUCUGUACUGAAUAAGUCAAAACUUUCAACAACGGAUCUCUUGGUUCUA
rnacentral:misc_RNA from 1 species